CCUACGGGAGGCAGCAGUGGGGAAUAUUGGCAAUGGGCGCAAGCCUGACCCAGCAACGCCGCGUGAAGGAAGAAGGCUCUCGGGUUGUAAACUUCUUUUAUCAGGGACGAAGCAAGUGACGGUACCUGAUGAAUAAGCCACGGCUAACUACGUGCCAGCAGCCGCGGUAAUACGUAGGGUGCAAGCGUUAUCCGGAUUUACUGGGUGUAAAGGACGUGUAGGCUGGAAAGCAAGUCAGAUGUGAAAACCAUGGGCUCAACCUGUGGCCUGCAUUUGAAACUGUUUUUCUUGAGUACUGGAGAGGUAGACGGAAUUCCUAGUGUAGCGGUGAAAUGCGUAGAUAUUAGGAGGAACACCAGUGGCGAAGGCGGUCUGCUGGACAGCAACUGACGCUGAGGCGCGAAAGCGUGGGGAGCAAACAGGAUUAGAUACCCCGGUAGUC
rnacentral:rRNA from 1 species